rnacentral:rRNA from 1 species
ACUGGGCGUAAGCGUGCGCAGGCGGUUAUGUAAGACAGAUGUGAAAUCCCCGGGCUCAACCUGGGAACUGCAUUUGAGACUGCAUGGCUAGAGUACGGUAGAGGGGGAUGGAAUUCCGCGUGUAGCAGUGAAAUGCGUAGAUAUGCGGAGGAACACCGAUGGCGAAGGCAACCCCCUGGACCGGUACUGACGCUCAUGCACGAAAGCGUGGGGAGCAAACAGGAUUAGAUACCCUGGUAGUCCACGCCCUAAACGAUGUCAACUAGCUGUUGGGAAUUUUGUUUCUCAGUAGCGCACCUCACGCGUGAAGUUGACCGCCCGGGGAGAACCGGCCCCAGGGUU